CCCCAGACUCCUACGGGAGGCAGCAGUGGGGAAUAUUGCGCAAUGGGGGAAACCCUGACGCAGCAACGCCGCGUGAGUGAAGAAGUAUCUCGGUAUGUAAAGCUCUGUCAGCAGGGAAGAAGAAAGACGGUACCUGACCAAGAAGCCCCGGCUAACUACGUGCCAGCAGCCGCGGUAAUACGUAGGGGGCAAGCGUUAUCCGGAUUUACUGGGUGUAAAGGGAGCGUAGACGGCAGUGCAAGUCUGGAGUGAAAGGCGGGGGCUCAACCCCCGGACUGCUCUGGAAACUGUACGGCUGGAGUGCAGGAGAGGUAAGUGGAAUUCCUAGUGUAGCGGUGAAAUGCGUAGAUAUUAGGAGGAACACCAGUGGCGAAGGCGGCUUACUGGACUGUAACUGACGUUGAGGCUCGAAAGCGUGGGGAGCAAACAGGAUUAGAUACCCCCGUAC
rnacentral:rRNA from 1 species